UACAGAGGGUGCGAGCGUUGUUCGGAAUUAUUGGGCGUAAAAGAGCUCGUAGGCGGUCUGUCGCGUCGGAUGUGAAAGCCCGGGGCUUAACCCCGGGUCUGCAUUCGAUACGGGCAGACUAGAGUGUGGUAGGGGAGAUCGGAAUUCCUGGUGUAGCGGUGAAAUGCGCAGAUAUCAGGAGGAACACCGGUGGCGAAGGCGGGUCUCUGGGCCGUAACUGACGCUGAGGAGCGAAAGCGUGGGGAGCGAACAGG
rnacentral:rRNA from 1 species